rnacentral:rRNA from 1 species
UACGUUGGGUGCGAGCGUUGCCCGGAUUUAUUGGGCGUAAAGGGCGCGUAGGCGGCUCGGCACGUCCGUUGUGAAAUCGCCCGGCUCAACUGGGCGGGGUCAGCGGAUACGGUCGAGCUUGAGCAAGCUAGGGGGCAAUGGAAUUCCCGGUGUAGUGGUGGAAUGCGUAGAUAUCGGGAGGAACACCAGUGGCGAAGGCGGUUGCCUGGAGCUUUGCUGACGCUGAGGCGCGAAAGCGUGGGGAGCGAUCCGG